rnacentral:rRNA from 1 species
CGAACGCUGGCGGCGUGCUUAACACAUGCAAGUCGAACGGAAAGGCCCUGCUUUUGUGGGGUACUCGAGUGGCGAACGGGUGAGUAACACGUGAGUAACCUGCCCUUGACUUUGGGAUAACUUCAGGAAACUGGGGCUAAUACCGGAUAGGAGCUCCUGCUGCAUGGUGGGGGUUGGAAAGUUUCGGCGGUUGGGGAUGGACUCGCGGCUUAUCAGCUUGUUGGUGGGGUAGUGGCUUACCAAGGCUUUGACGGGUAGCCGGCCUGAGAGGGUGACCGGCCACAUUGGGACUGAGAUACGGCCCAGACUCCUACGGGAGGCAGCAGUGGGGAAUAUUGCACAAUGGGCGGAAGCCUGAUGCAGCAACGCCGCGUGCGGGAUGACGGCCUUCGGGUUGUAAACCGCUUUCGCCUGUGACGAAGCGUGAGUGACGGUAAUGGGUAAAGAAGCACCGGCUAACUACGUG